GGCGGUUGGUCGCGUNUGCUGUGAAAGGCUGGGGCUUAACCCUGGUUUUGCAGUGGGUACGGGCUAACUAGAGUGCAGUAGGGGAGACUGGAAUUCCUGGUGUAGCGGUGGAAUGCGCAGAUAUCAGGAGGAACACCGAUGGCGAAGGCAGGUCUCUGGGCUGUAACUGACGCUGAGAAGCGAAAGCAUGGGGAGCGAACAGGAUUAGAUACCCUGGUAGUCCAUGCCGUAAACGUUGGGCACUAGGUGUGGGGGACAUUCCACGUUUUCCGCGCCGUAGCUAACGCAUUAAGUGCCCCGCCUGGGGAGUACGGCCGCAAGGCUAAAACUCAAAGAAAUUGACGGGGGCCCGCACAAGCGGCGGAGCAUGCGGAUUAAUUCGAUGCAACGCGAAGAACCUUACCAAGGCUUGACAUAUACUGGACUGCGUCAGAGAUGGCGUUUCCCUUCGGGGCUGGUAUACAGGUGGUGCAUGGUUGUCGUCAGCUCGUGUCGUGAGAUGUUGGGUUAAGUCCCGCAACGAGCGCAACCCUCGUUCUAUGUUGCCAGCACGUGAUGGUGGGGACUCAUAGGAGACUGCCGGGGUCAACUCGGAGGAAGGUGGGGAUGACGUCAAAUCAUCAUGCCCCUUAUGUCUUGGGCUUCACGCAUGCUACAAUGGCCGGUACAGAGGGUUGCGAUACUGUGAGGUGGAGCUAAUCCCUAAAAGCCGGUCUCAGUUCGGAUUGGGGUCUGCAACUCGACCCCAUGAAGUCGGAGUCGCUAGUAAUCGCAGAUCAGCAACGCUGCGGUGAAUACGUUCCCGGGCCUUGUACACACCGCCCGUCAAGUCACGAAAGUUGGUAACACCCGAAGCCGGUGGCCUAACCCUGGUGGGGGGAGCCGUCGAAGG
rnacentral:rRNA from 1 species